UACGGAGGGUGCGAGCGUUGUCCGGAAUCACUGGGCGUAAAGGGCGCGUAGGUGGCGCGGGCAGUCAACGGUGAAAGUUCGGGGCUCAACCCUGAAUCGGCCGUCGAUACUCCCGGGCUUGAGCACUGUAGAGGCAGAUGGAAUUCCGGGUGUGGCGGUGGAAUGCGUAGAGAUCCGGAAGAACACCGGUGGCGAAGGCGGUCUGCUGGGCAGUAGCUGACACUGAGGCGCGACAGCGUGGGGAGCAAACAGG
rnacentral:rRNA from 1 species